CUAAGGUAGCAUAAUCAUUUGUUAUUUAAUUGGUAACUGGAAUGAAGGGUUAAACUAGUUUAUUAAGUUUGUGUGGCUAAAUAGGAGUUUAAAGUUAAGGUAAGAAUUCUUUAAUUUUUUAGGGGACGAUAAGACCCUAGAAGCUUAACGAGUGGUUGGUUUUGUUUUAUAAAUUUGUUUGUUUUACUGGGGCGGUAAAAAUAAUUAAGCUAUUUUUUAUUUAAGGGAUCCUUAAAAUAAAGAAAAAAUGGAGAAGUUACUCUAGGGAUAA
rnacentral:rRNA from 1 species